UACGUAGGUGGCAAGCGUUGUCCGGAUUUAUUGGGCGUAAAGCGCGCGCAGGCGGUCUUUUAAGUCUGAUGUGAAAUCUCGUGGCUCAACCACGAACGGUCAUUGGAAACUGGGAGACUUGAGUACAGAAGAGGAGAGUGGAAUUCCACGUGUAGCGGUGAAAUGCGUAGAGAUGUGGAGGAACACCAGUGGCGAAGGCGACUCUCUGGUCUGUAACUGACGCUGAGGCGCGAAAGCGUGGGGAGCGAACAGG
rnacentral:rRNA from 1 species